GCGUCAAGUACCAAGUUGUAUGACUCUGAGUGAACGGCUGCAAAAUUUGUGAAAAAAGUUAGCAUUUGUCAAGUACCAUGUUAUAUGACCCUGAGUGAACGGCUACAAAAUUUGUGAAAAUAAUUAGCAUGCGUGGAGUACCAGGUUAUUCAACCCUGAGUGACCAGCUGCAAAAUUAGUGAAAAAAGUUAGCAUGCUAACAGUUAGCAUGGGUCAAGUACCAUGUUAUAUGACCCUGAAUGAACAGCUACAAAUUAGUGUAAAAAGUUAUCUGUGGUAUUUUGUUAGUUUGUUGUCCAUGCACUUGUCGCGUUCUUGCUCGCAAAACACCUUUCGCUUUUAGAUGGUCUUUUAAACUUGCUUCAGUAAGAGAUUCACGACUGUUCAAUCUGACGGUUAGCGGCCUAAAAAUGUUUUACCAGGUUGUUGUUUUUUUAUAUUGUUGCAAUGUUUCCCCGACCCCCGCAUUUGGACACCCCUGCAUUGAACGCAACUAAUGUUAUGUUCCAUUUAUGUAACCAAGUCAGUCAGUCGAAAAUGGCGUUACGUAACGUGACAAUCACAACCACUCUCAUUCAACAAUAAAGAUGACGUCGUCGCUAAAAGCCCCAAAAUGGACCCGCUUGUGUUGUCUCUCGCCUGGAGGACACUUGUUGUUGACGCUUACAUAAGUCGCUAACACACGUGUUCCCUCAAGCGUGCAUUGCAGACGGGACUGGUAUAAAAGCUCUCCAUGCAGCGGAGAGGGUCGCUGCCUUUGGCUCCCUGCUGAGGUUCUGACUGCUACACCCGUGUCUGGAAGGAAGGACGGCGGCAGCAAUGAUCGUCAGACUGGGAAGGCUAACUCCGGGCUACUUCCGCCUCCUGCAGAGGCAGGCGUCGGGCGAGGUGAGGACGCUGCCGUCCGGCGGCCUCAUCAAUCCCGUCGCCGUGACGAUGGCGGCGGCGGGGCUGUGCGUGAGCCUCUACAGCGCCGUGCAGAUGGCGAACCGGCCCGCAGUUUGACCACCAGGACGCCACGAGGGUGUGCGAGGAAGUUGACGACGACGGCGGAGGAUGAAAAUGAGGGAGGUUUGUGCAUGAAGGGACUGUAAGGUGGGCUGCGAUAACAACCCCAGACGCUCAAUAUUUCAGGACUAUUUCCACGGCAGGGGUGUCCAAACUUUGUAGGCCAACACAUAAUAAAAACAAAUGUUAGUCUGACAUCUUGCACAAAUGAUGUUCUUUUCACGUCGGACACCCUUGUUCACAUGCUUUCCCUUUUGGAAUAUUCACCCUUGAAUGUAGCGUAGGACUUGUGUUUUAGUGAUGACACCAUGCACUUCCCCUGCAUUGUGUUACAUUCCACCGACUGAUUCCCAAAUAAACACAAUCCUGUUCUCA